rnacentral:tRNA from 1 species
GCCGGGGUGGCGGAACUGGCUGACGCGCUUGACUCAAAAUCAAGUGGGGCAUAGGCCCCUUGCGGGUUCGAAUCCCGCCCCCGGCACCA